CAACAGGCAGUCAGAAGCGGAAAUUAUAAGUUUCAACAUUAUGACCACAGGAAAAACUGAAUCAUCGUUAACUUUGUGUGGAGAGCACUUGGACAAACCAGAGGCCUUCUGGAAGUCCAUUCUCUGGACAGAUGAGUCCAAGAUACCCCAGAUGCUGCCAGAGAGUGCCCCCUGAUGGCCGUAUGUACUCACUGCAGCACACACUCCGGGAUCUGCACGUGGUCCAUGGGCACCAUCUGCGCAAGCUCCUCCAGGCUCUGGACGUAGCGGAUCUUUUCCAUGAACUUCACGCUGCAGAAGCGAUGAC